UCCAAGACUUUGAACAUGAAGGGGAUUU
rnacentral:piRNA from 1 species